GGAGAGGUGGCAGAGCGGUCGAAUGCGACGGUCUUGAAAACCGUUGACCAGUGUUCCUGGUCCGGGGGUUCGAAUCCCUCCCUCUCCGCCA
rnacentral:tRNA from 1 species